UAAUGUAUGGGGAGCUGCCCGAUAGAGGGGGAUAACUACUGGAAACGGUGGCUAAUACCGCAUAACGUCGCAAGACCAAAGUGGGGGACCUUCGGGCCUCAUGCCAUCAGAUGUGCCCAGAUGGGAUUAGCUAGUAGGUGGGGUAAUGGCUCACCUAGGCGACGAUCCCUAGCUGGUCUGAGAGGAUGACCAGCCACACUGGAACUGAGACACGGUCCAG
rnacentral:rRNA from 1 species